UCAUAUCAGAUCUCCACCUCAGUGCAUAACUCUUCAACCUGAGGACUCGCAGGGUAAAUGGAAUGCCGUCCUUUGGUUGUUGAGUUGUGCAUUUUUGGGUGUUUCAUCUCUACAG
rnacentral:pre_miRNA from 13 species